rnacentral:rRNA from 1 species
CCUACGGGUGGCAGCAGUGGGGAAUAUUGGGCAAUGGAGGCAACUCUUACCCAGCAAUGCCGCGUGAAUGAAGAAGGUCUUCGGAUUGUAAAGUUCUUUAAUUGGGGACGAAAAAAAUGACGGUACCCAAGGAAUAAGCCCCGGCUAACUACGUGCCAGCAGCCGCGGUAAUACGUAGGGGGCGAGCGUUAUCCGGAUUCACUGGGUGUAAAGGGAGCGUAGACGGCCAUGCAAGCCAGGGGUGAAAGCCCGGGGCCCAACCCCGGGACUGCCCUUGGAACUGCAUGGCUGGAGUGCGGGAGGGGCAGGCGGAAUUCCUGGUGUAGCGGUGAAAUGCGUAGAUAUCAGGAGGAACACCGGCGGCGAAGGCGGCCUGCUGGACCGCGACUGACGUUGAGGCUCGAAAGCGUGGGGAGCGAACAGGAUUAGAUACCCGGGUAGUC